CGGCAGCACGGGAGCAAUCCUGGUGGCGAGUGGCGAACGGGUGAGUAAUACAUCGGAACGUGUCCUGUAGUGGGGGAUAGCCCGGCGAAAGCCGGAUUAAUACCGCAUACGCUCUACGGAGGAAAGGGGGGGAUCUUAGGACCUCUCGCUACAGGGGCGGCCGAUGGCAGAUUAGCUAGUUGGUGGGGUAAAGGCCUACCAAGGCGACGAUCUGUAGCUGGUCUGAGAGGACGACCAGCCACACUGGGACUGAGACACGGCCCAGACUCCUACGGGAGGCAGCAGUGGGGAAUUUUGGACAAUGGGCGAAAGCCUGAUCCAGCAAUGCCGCGUGUGUGAAGAAGGCCUUCGGGUUGUAAAGCACUUUUGUCCGGAAAGAAAUCCCCUGGGAUAAUACCCCGGGGGGAUGACGGUACCGGAAGAAUAAGCACCGGCUAACUACGUGCCAGCAGCCGCGGUAAUACGUAGGGUGCAAGCGUUAAUCGGAAUUACUGGGCGUAAAGCGUGCGCAGGCGGUUCGCUAAGACAGAUGUGAAAUCCCCGGGCUUAACCUGGGAACUGCAUUUGUGACUGGCGGGCUAGAGUAUGGCAGAGGGGGGUAGAAUUCCACGUGUAGCAGUGAAAUGCGUAGAGAUGUGGAGGAAUACCGAUGGCGAA
rnacentral:rRNA from 1 species